rnacentral:rRNA from 1 species
GAUGAACGCUGGCGGCGUGCCUAAUACAUGCAAGUCGAGCGAACAGACGAGGAGCUUGCUCCUCUGACGUUAGAGGCGGACGGGUGAGUAACACGUGGAUAACCUACCUAUAAGACUGGGAUAACUUCGGGAAACCGGAGCUAAUACCGGAUAAUAUAUUGAACCGCAUGGUUCAAUAGUGAAAGACGGUUUUGCUGUCACUUAUAGAUGGAUCCGCGCCGCAUUAGCUAGUUGGUAAGGUAACGGCUUACCAAGGCAACGAUGCGUAGCCGACCUGAGAGGGUGAUCGGCCACACUGGAACUGAGACACGGUCCAGACUCCUACGGGAGGCAGCAGUAGGGAAUCUUCCGCAAAGGGCGAAAGCCUGACGGAGCAACGCCGCGUGAGUGAUGAAGGUCUUCGGAUCGUAAAACUCUGUUAUUAGGGAAGAACAAAUGUGUAAGUAACUAUGCACGUCUUGACGGUACCUAAUCAGAAAGCCACGGCUAACUACGUG